UGGGGAAUUUUGGACAAUGGGCGCAAGCCUGACCCAGCAACGCCGCGUGAAGGAUGAAGUAUUUCGGUAUGUAAACUUCGAAAGAAUAGGAGGAAUAAAUGACGGUACUAUUUAUAAGGUCCGGCUAACUCUGUGCCAGCAGCCGCGGUAAUACAGAGGUGGCAAGCGUUGUUCGGAAUUACUGGGCGUAAAGGGCGCGUAGGCGGCCUACUAAGUCAGACGUGAAAUCCCCCGGCUUAACCUGGGAACUGCGUCUGAUACUGGAAGGCUUGAGUAUGGGANAGGGAUGUAGAAUUCCAGGUGUAGCGGUGAAAUGCGUAGAUAUCUGGAGGAACAUCUGAGGCGAAGGCGACUAUCUGGAUCACAACUGACGCUGAGGUACGAAAGCAUGGGUAGCAAACAGGAUUAGAUACCCGUGUAGUCCCUGAGCGGGCUGGCAAGGCGCAU
rnacentral:rRNA from 1 species